rnacentral:lncRNA from 1 species
GUAAGCUUUAAGCUGGAGGUCAGAUAAGAGGGGGAGCUUGGCUGGAUGUGAGGCAGAAGAAGCAGGCCUCCAGGUCCCAGGGUCAGGACUAGGGUGCAGGUUGGCCCUGAACCCCAGCAGGUGGUGUCUGCCAGUCCAAAGUCUGUGAGCACCCCACCAAAAGGAGGUGUCUCCAGCAGGCUGUUAACCUUGGAUCACACAGACUCAGAAGGCAACAGCUGCUUGCCUUGCCUGAAAAUGCCUUGUGAUGGUGACUCCAGGACACAGCAAGUCCCUUCAAGGAGCACCAGUUUUCGAGUGUGCAAGACUGAGGUGAAAGUAAGUUUCUGCCGUGUGAACAGCCUGCCUUCAGUGAGCCGUUUGUUCUUUAGGGAAG